UACGUAGGGUGCGAGCGUUGUCCGGAAUUAUUGGGCGUAAAGAGCUCGUAGGCGGCCUGUCGCGUCGGAUGUGAAAACUCGGGGCUUAACCCCGAGCCUGCAUUCGAUACGGGCAGGCUAGAGUUCGGCAGGGGAGACUGGAAUUCCUGGUGUAGCGGUGAAAUGCGCAGAUAUCAGGAGGAACACCGGUGGCGAAGGCGGGUCUCUGGGCCGAUACUGACGCUGAGGAGCGAAAGCGUGGGGAGCGAACAGG
rnacentral:rRNA from 1 species